rnacentral:tRNA from 11 species
GUUAAAAUAGUUGAAUAUUCAACUAUAAAUUGUAAUUUUAUAUUAUAAAAUAUUAUAUUAUUUAUUUUAACA